CGUCGCCGGGGCUUGAGAGCGUUCGCAGGGAAUUUGCUGGCCUCCGGAUGGCGGGUAUCCUCCUGUCGGCGUCCCGAGAUACAACCUGUGUAAAAACUUUUAAGGAAUGAGAGAAAUCAUGCAUUUCUUUGGAAUGCUACAUCCUGUCACUCCCUCUUUCACUGGUCAUCUGACAGUUGGAUCAAAGAAUGGCACUCGGCUGUUAAGUUGCAUUGUAUCUGCCUGAUGUGACAAAGCAGUAAAGCUGUGGAACAACCUGGGGGUGUGUAAAUGAACCAGAAUUUUGACAAUGGAUGUCUUGUUUAGCUCUGGGUGAAUCUUGUUCGUACAAUCGGCUCCUUGUGGUUAGGACAUCUUACAAAGGUUUAGGAGUUUGCAAAUUGAAGAUCAAACAUGUUGGUUAACACUCCAAGUGGAAAGGCAUAUGGAUAACAAGUUAUAUGGCUACAUGAUGUUAUCAUGAACACUACAUGGAGAGUUACUGCAGUGCUAACCAUGUUUGGUCAGGUUACAAUCAUGUCUUCUCUCAUCGUAAGACUGGCUGAUCUGAUGAUCCUCCGGAUUGUAGAUUGGAACUAGAAGAAAAUCUUUACUUGCGGCAAAGAAUGAGAUCAAUUGAGUGAAGUGUUGUAGUAUGCUAUUUUCAGAAACCAAUAGAAAAAUAAACUUAAGCAAAAACA